AAUGAUUGCUUGAUUAUCACAUAAUAUGUUUAUAAGUAGGUGUGAGAACGGGUCGAAUCCAGACCAGAUCUUACAAGAUUCGAAUAGUAUACAUCAUAUCCAGGUCCAAAUCGGAUCCUAAAGAUUCGGAUCUAGAUCCAGAUCCUGGAUAUUCGGAUUUGGAUUUGGAUCCAGAUCCUGGAUACUCGGAUCUGGAUACAGAUCUAAAUAGUAAACAUCAGAUCCGAAUCCG
rnacentral:lncRNA from 1 species